AACGCUGGCGGCGCGCUUAACACAUGCAAGUCGAGCGAGAACCGUGGCUUCGGCCAUGGGGACAGCGGCGAACGGGUGAGUAACACGUGGGUAAUCAACCCUCGACACUGGGAUAGCCCGGGGAAACCCGGAUUAAUACCGGAUACCCCAUCUGGCCUUCGGGCCGGCUGGAAAAGGUAGCUUUGGCCUCCGGUCGAGGACGAGCCCGCGGCGGAUUAGCUUGUUGGCGGGGUAAAAGCCCACCAAGGCGACGAUCCGUAGCUGGUCUGAGAGGACGAUCAGCCACACUGGGACGGAGACACGGCCCAGACUCCUACGGGAGGCAGCAGUGGGGAAUCUUGCGCAAUGGGCGAAAGCCUGACGCAGCGACGCCGCGUGAGGGAAGAAGGCCUUCGGGUUGUAAACCUCUUUCAGGAGGGACGAAGCCACUCGGGUUAAUAGCCCAGAGGGUGACGGUACCGAGAGAAGAAGCCCCGGCUAACUCCGUGCCAGCCGCCGCAGUAACAC
rnacentral:rRNA from 1 species